rnacentral:rRNA from 1 species
UGCGGUUAUACAAAAAUUAAAUUAAAUUUUUUUAGGAUUUAAUUAAUAAAUUUAAAAUUUAAUAAUUUAAAUUUAAAAUUAUAAAGUGAAAUUUUAAUUUUAAUAAAACUUAUUUAUUUUUAUGACAUUAAUAAAUUUUAUAAAAAACUAGGAUUAGAUACCCUAUUAUAAAAAUUUAAAUUUAAAUAAUCUUGAAAUAGUAUAUAAUUUUUUAUAGAAACUUAAAUAAUUUGGCGGUAUUUUAGUUCAUUUAGAGGAAUCUGUUUAAUAAUUGAUAAUCCACGAUUAAAUUUACUUAAUUUUUAAUUUUGUAUAUCGUUGUUAAAAAAAUAUUUUUAAAUAAUUUUAAUAUUUUAAAAUUUAAAUAAAAAAUUAAAUCAGAUCAAGAUGCAGAUUAUAAUUAAGAAUAUAAUGGAUUACAAUAAAUUUUAUUUUAUUUGGAUAUUAAUUUGAAAUAAAUUAAUUGAAAUUGGAUUUAAAUGUAAUUUUAUUUAUUUUGAUAAAAUGAUUAAAAAUUAAAAUAUGUACAUAUUGCCCGUCGCUUUCAUUAAUAAAUUGAAAUAAGUCGUAACAAAGUAGAGGUACUGGAAAGUGUUUCUAGAAAGAU